AUUACAAGAGGAAGCCUAAGAGCCUAAGGCAAGGCUCAACCUUGCACAUGAUUGGUCUUAGGCCCACAAGGCCAAAAGGAGGGAGGAAAAAAAAGUCCCGCUCGUACUGGGAAUUUUUACCCCUUGAGGAAUCUGAUUCCUCAUGUACUUCUUAAUGUGAUCCCAAAUAGGCCAAAAUUAAUCCCAAAGAAAUAAUUCCACAAGAAGCAAAAUUCUCAUGAGAUAAAAAUUUACAAGGCUAGGGAACCAACAG
rnacentral:lncRNA from 1 species